CUCAGACAUGAGGCGUCCACAUUGAGACUGUAGAAGUCAGAUUUCAGCCUUUGCCUUAAGUGAAGCUUGCUCAGGCGAGGGAUCGCUUCCUCACCAUCCCUUUAACCGUCCCGGCCCUGGACCAUGUCACUCUGAACGUUAGGUUUAACACUGUUAGCAUUCCCGCGCACGGUGAGGUCACAUCAGGGUUGGAAGUAGAAGUGAAGGAAACACUGAGAACCUGUUUUUCUUCUUUCUUACCUUUGAUAAGAAGCUGUUGCUUUGUUUAGUUUUCUACUAAUCGUACACAUCGCGUAUCAUCGACCAGAGUUGCUUUCAGAUGUUCUCAGCGGCUUUAACACUGACAGUUUGUCACACAGACGUGCACAUUACCCUCACUGCUGGUGUG